AGAUUGAACGCUGGCGGCAUGCCUUACACAUGCAAGUCGAACGGCAGCACGGGAGCAAUCCUGGUGGCGAGUGGCGAACGGGUGAGUAAUAUAUCGGAACGUGCCCAGUCGUGGGGGAUAACGUAGAGAAAUUUACGCUAAUACCGCAUACGAUCCAAGGAUGAAAGCGGGGGACCGUAAGGCCUCGCGCGACUGGAGCGGCUGAUAUCAGAUUAGCUUGUUGGUGAGGUAAAGCUCACCAAGGCGACGAUCUGUAGCUGGUUUGAGAGAACGACCAGCCACACUGGGACUGAGACACGGCCCAGACUCCACGGGAGGCAGCAGUGGGAAUUUGGACAAUGGGACGAAAGGCCUGAUCCAGCAAUGCCGCGUGCAGGAAGAAGGCCUUACGGGUUGUAAACUGUCGUUUAGGUAACGGA
rnacentral:rRNA from 1 species